rnacentral:lncRNA from 13 species
UUUCAGCAAAAGAAGCUAUUUUCAUUUGUGCAUACGUGGUUUAGUUAUAAACAUUUAAGAUGUAUGUUUUUCAUUUUCAAUUUUCUCAUUGACUUCUUCCCCCUGGCUUUUCUGCAGCCUUCGUAUAUAGGCUUGAACUGUAGUUCUUCUGGCUUGGUUUGUACCUUAUUGAAAUGGAAGAAAGAAGAAAAUGGAUAUAUACUGGUUCUGUUACUGAUACUGUCUAAUCAACGGUCACAGAAAUCUUCAUAAGCAAUUAUCAUUCAACUUUUACGUCUGGGAAAACAAAGAUCAGAAACAUAAAAUGACUUCAAAAUCAUUUUCCAGGCCACUGAAUAAUGGAGCUGAAUUCAAAAUCCAUGGUGUUUGUACCUUCCCGUGCGUUUCCUCAGGAGAUACAGUUUAUAAAAAGGUAAAUUUUGGAAAAAAAUAACAUUGAUGUUAUCUUAUGUCCAAAUGGUCUUAAUACAUCUCAAAGUAAUUUUUUAUGUUCAUUAUUUUUUUAGGUUCAUUAUUUCAUUUAGUAGUUAAACAGUGCCAGGAGAUAAACUGGCAGGAGUGGACGUGUUGUACCCAUUUUAUACAUGAGGGCAAUAGAAGUACCUAAUCUAACCAAGUUUUUACCUUUUACUAAUUAAAUCAAGUUAUUGUUUGUUUUGAUGUUUAAAGUAACAUGUUUGCUGGGUAAAACAGCCACAUAU